CUAAGCUCUGAAACUGACGGGGGCGUUAGGGUUUUGCAGUCACUCACAGCUGGGGAGGUUCGCGGGCUUUAGCGACUCAGUAGUUUGGUGCUCAUCGACCUUUCUCCCUAACUUUCCAUGGAUUCCUCGUCUCUUAACUCCCCGGAGCUGAUGAAUUUUAUCAAUGAAGAGAAGCAAAGAGCAAUGGUUGCUGAGAUGGUGGCUAAGCUUACCAGUGUGUGUUGGGACAAGUGUAUCACUGGUACGCCAGGGAGUAAGUUCAGUUCUAGUGAAUCCAACUGUCUAUCAAACUGUGCCCAGCGCUAUAUGGAUAUGAGCAUCAUCAUUAUGAAGCGAUUCCAAAACAGUUAAUGGAUCUCAACGCGGGAGGCUUGAGUGUAUUUUCUUGGUGGAUCUAUUGUUCAAAUCCAACCGAAAGGAAAAGGAGACUUUGAAGUCCCUGAAUCACGCGUGAGCUCCAAAAGCUACAAAGAUAGAACGCAAUAGCUGCAACAAAAAUAAAAACAAUUAACAUCCUUCUCUUUUCCAUUGAAUAAUAAAUAAGAACUUCUGCACUGCAUGCAGGCUCCAAUUGUACGGCUCAUCCAACGUUUGUUGCGAUCAAGUCUAUGCAUAAAAAGUUGGGGGUGGGGAGGAGAAGUGGGGUUUGGCUAGGAUGGCCACUUCAAGUGUAAGGAUAUCAUAAAAAUGUAAUUUUCAAGAUUAAAGGUGCAGUUUUGCCACUUUUGAUGUAUCAAGAUCAUAAAGUAAUCCUGGUUUC